rnacentral:rRNA from 1 species
AUUGAACGCUGGCGGCAGGCCUAACACAUGCAAGUCGAACGAGUGGCGGACGGGUGAGUAAUGUCUGGGAAACUGCCUGAUGGAGGGGGAUAACUACUGGAAACGGUCGCUAUUACCGCAUACCAUCGGAUGUGCCCAGAUGGGAUGAGCUUGUAGGUGGGGUAAAGGCUCACCUAGGCGACGAUACCUAGCUGGUCUGCGAGGAUGACAAGCGUGGCUUGGACUGAGACACGGUUCAGACUCCUACGCGAGGGAGGAGUGUGGAAUAUUGCGAGAUGGGCGCUAGGCUGAUGAAUCAAUGCGGCAGCGAUGGAGAAGGCCUUCGGGGUUUAAAGUACUUUCAGCGGGGAGGCGUGACCAGCAGAAGAAGCACCGGCUAACUCCGCGCCAGCCGCCGAGGUAAUAC